UCUCACAUGAGGUCCCGGCGAGAAGGACCUGCUUCCAUCAGAUUCACACUUGGGAGAGGGGCCCGGCCUCCAGGAGCGCCAGGCAGAAAGGGCACCCAUUAGGAAGAAGAACACAGAGGCCAUGGGAGUGAAAAGUUUGAUGCUGGAAAGCAACAGUAGCACAUUCUGCUACAGAGCGGAAUGAAAAACCCUGGGGAGCAAAUUCCUGAGCCAGAGAAUGGAGCGGAGGAACCAGCCAAGGAGGAUAAAGAGACUUAGCCUAGAAAAUAAUGAAGAAGGACAGAAAGAGAAUACCAUUCUACUACACCCGCUGAUGACUUAAAACCUGCGUGCUCUGAGGCUGCCCGACCCUGAGCUCCAGAACAGACCAUCGAGUUCAGGAGACAAGCAUGUCAGCCAUGACACAAGGCAGAUGAGAGGGACCCCCAGCGUCCACACGUGGAGGCAGCGGGGGCAGCCGAUCCAUACAAACAGGCUGACCAUCAGGGCUGGUCCCAGGCCACCAGGCUGGGUGCAAUGCAGAAAUGGAGAUCUGCCCCGGGGAAGGCAGG
rnacentral:lncRNA from 1 species